rnacentral:rRNA from 1 species
GACAGAGGGUGCAAACGUUGUUCGGAAUUACUGGGCGUAAAGCGCGUGUAGGCGGCCAUGCAAGUCGGAUGUGAAAGCCCUCGGCUCAACCGGGGAAGUGCACUCGAAACUGCAAGGCUAGAGUCUCGGAGAGGAUCGUGGAAUUCUCGGUGUAGAGGUGAAAUUCGUAGAUAUCGAGAGGAACACCGGUGGCGAAGGCGGCGAUCUGGACGAUGACUGACGCUGAGGGACGAAAGCUAGGGGAGCAAACGGG